rnacentral:lncRNA from 10 species
CCAAAAUGAACUAUAACAUAUAUAGCAUACAUUAUGGUCCUAGGUACAGAAAAUGCUCUGUACUUCAUAGUUAGAUGUGCCAAGCUCUUUUUUUUUUUUUUUUUUUUUGAGACAGAGUUUCGCUUCUGUCGACCAGGCUGGUGCAACCUCCGCCUCCUGAGUUCAAGCGAUUCUCCUGGUUCAGUCUCCCGAGUAGCUGAGAUUACAGGUGUGCACCACCAUGCAUAGCUAAUUUUUGUAUUUUUAGUAAAGACGAGGUUUCAUCAUGUUGGCCAGGCUGGUCUUGAACUCUUGACCUCAGGCGAUCCACCCACCUCGGCCUCCCAAAGUUCUGGGAUUACAGGCGUGAGCCACCGUGCCCGGCCAUAGCUCUUUGGUAUGUAAGUUAGAACAGGCUAAGCAGUAGCAACCCCCUAAUGAUUUAGGCCACACAUGGAUGUGAUAAGUCAGGAAAAAGGAGCAAGCCAAGAUAGAGGACAGUGAGCUGCCCAUGGCAUACAAGCAACUCACAUAACAUCUGGGUAAUGACUAUAGAAGAUGACUUUACUCCACCUGGAGCAUCUGAUUAUACCUGGGCUCUUUGCAGUACAUGUUAAUGACCCAGACCACAAACAGAGUAUCGUGGCCAAGCUGUUCUUGCACUGAAUUAUAAAAGAGACUUGAGGGUUUGUGCAAGCUGUUUGGCAAGACAAGGUUGGCUUGGAGUAAGAACUUCUGGAAAUAUCAGAAAUGAACUCAGAAGAGAAGAAGACUAGGCUGCCUGAAGAGAUCUCAAGAAUAAUCGUAGAACGUGCUGAGAAUUCAACAUUCUGAGGUAUAAUAUCUCAGUUAGCCUAUGAAGAGAAUGUUGUGGAUCUCCCUCCAACUCACUUCACAAGUAUUUAGAUUCAAGGCUGGGCACAGGAAGCAGAUGGCAGGUACAAUUGCUGAGAGUUGCAAUCUGGUCUCAGCAAAACUGGUAUCACAGGGACAUAAUUCACUUAUGCUGACGUGCAGGUGCUUUUGCGAAAACAUUGUCGUGUAGCAGAAAGAGCAUGGGCUUUGGAGUCACACUGACCUAGGUUGAAGUCUUAGAUGAGUUCUCACUUUAGUUUUCUUUCUUUAAGAUGUAGAUAACUCCUACCUUGCACCAUGAUUUGAGGACUAAAUAAGGAAAAUAAUAUUAAGUUCUAUAGCAACCCUGAAACACACACAUUAAAAGUAUGUCUUUUCUUCUUCUGUCUGUGGUGCUUCCUUUAAGCACCCCUUCCCCUCCUUCACCCUCAAGGCUGAUGCUCCCAUACCUCCAGCUGAGUUUCCAGCCAUCUUGCUCCAGCACCUUGAAGGUCAAGUUGGCAGCAAACUCAACUCACAUGCUGCAAGUCUUCCAUUUGGGAGGGUCCUGCCUUACAAAACUACUUCCUAGACACGACGCUAAUUACUUGGUACAUAGAAACGUGAAUUCAAAUCUGUGUCUUGAUGAAUGUCUGCUCAUUGACUAUGCAUCUAUUUAUCACAGAAUGGCAAUGACACCUUUUCCCAGAAGGAAAUUUUUCUGAUUUACAUAUAUGUGGCUGAUGCAUGAAGUGGGUUUUAUAAAUCACUAUGUCAUCGCCACCAAAAAAUGCCCUCUAGCAUGAUUAGAAAGAGCCUGUGACAAGGGCCCUAUCAAAUUGAAUGGAAAGGCCAUAAAACCAUCAGUUCAUUUGACAUAAAACUGAUAUAUUAUGUGAUAAUGCUUCAAGUAGAACCUGAGACCCCAUUCAUCACACAGGCUGCUCCACAGCUAGGUUCUGAGCUAUGUGUUAAUGAAACCUUCGUGCUCGACUCACACUGCAAAUUGUAGUCCCCAGUCAGCACUGGGGACCCACACACCGGAAUAUGUUCCCAUUGAAAAUACACUUCAUUCACUAACAAACUUUCUUG